UGAAGGUCUUGUAUCCCUGGAAUUCACACCACCCCUGUGGGCACUGACAGCAGUGCCUGUCACACAGCAAAAGGUGGCACAACUGUGUCUUUUCUCCCCAGGACACCCCGAAGAAAUGGAGUGUCUUGCCUUGCAUUCAUGGGGAUCUACAGCCCAUGGUACUGCCCGGAGCUCUCUCUCUUCCCCAAACUGUCAAUAUCUGGAAUUUUAGCUGAAUGAGAACAAAAAAGCACCUGGCAAAUGUG
rnacentral:lncRNA from 12 species